AGCAGCCGCGGUAAUUCCAGCUCCAAUAGCGUAUAUUAAAGUUGUUGCAGUUAAAAAGCUCGUAGUUGAAUUUCGGGGUCAGUAGAUUGGUCAUGCCACUGGUAUGUACUGGUCUCACUGAUUCCUCCUUCCUGAUGAGCCGUAAUGCCAUUAAUUUGGUGUUGCGAGGAAUCUGGACUGUUACUUUGAAAAAUUGAGUGUUUAAAGCAGGCUAACGCUUGAAUACAUUAGCAUGGAAUAAUGAAUAGGACGUUCGAUCUUAUUUUGUUGGUUUCUAAGAUUGACGUAAUGAUUAAUAGGGAUAGUUGGGGGCAUUAGUAUUCAAUUGUCAGAGUGAAAUUCUUGGAUUUAUU
rnacentral:rRNA from 1 species